UACGUAGGGUGCGAGCGUUAAUCGGAAUUACUGGGCGUAAAGCGUGCGUAGGCGGCUUUGUAAGUCAGGUGUGAAAUCUCCGGGCUUAACCUGGGAAUGGCAUUUGGGACUGCAAGGCUGGAGUGUGGCAGAGGAGACUGGAAUUUACGGUGUAGCAGUGAAAUGCGUAGAGAUCGUAAGGAAGACCAGUGGCGAAGGCGGGUCUCUGGACAGUUCCUGACACUGAGGCACGAAGGCCAGGGGAGCAAACGGG
rnacentral:rRNA from 1 species